rnacentral:rRNA from 1 species
CAGUCGCCGCGGGAAUACGAAGGGGGCUAGCGUUGUUCGGAAUCACUGGGCGUAAAGCGCACGUAGGCGGACACUUAAGUCAGAGGUGAAAUCCCAAGGCUCAACCUUGGAACUGCCUUUGAUACUGGGUGUCUUGAGUUCGGGAGAGGUGAGUGGAACUGCGAGUGUAGAGGUGAAAUUCGUAGAUAUUCGCAAGAACACCAGUGGCGAAGGCGGCUCACUGGCCCGAUACUGACGCUGAGGUGCGAAAGCGUGGGGAGCAAACAGGAUUAGAUACCCCAGUAGUCCCUGUCUCUUAUAC